UUUACGAGCUGCCAGAAUCACGCACUUAUAGCAAUCUUUUUAAGCCCCGAAAUCAGACUCUUUGCUAAUUAAACAGUCAAUUAUUUGCAAAGAAUAUCAACACACAAGAUGAAUAGAUAACGAGAGCUUACAUGCAUGUAUGGCCGCUUAGAUCCGCCAUACUGACUUAACAACAAACAUCUUGGCUAACAAUUUACUAGGCGGGAAUCUCUGUUCUUAACAUUUGAAAAGCAAAUGUUUUUCCUGCAAAAACUUUGAGAUUAACUGACAGAGACACGGCAAACGAAUACCGAUAUUUACAGGUAUACAUUUGAGACUAUUCUCGACUUUUCGUCUAUUCAAAGCCUGUUUAUAGCAAGCAGAAAGAAUACGAAAGAAUGCCUGUUUAAUUAUAUGCACCUUGGGCGAGUAAACAAGGCAAAUAGAGACAAGCCACAAAACCCAGCAAGCACACCUCGAAAGGACCGACUGGUACAAGGGGAGACAGUUCCAAUCAGACUGGUGACAGUGGAACAAACAAGGCUUAAACCAACUAAUGAAAGUCGGUUUGAUCCAAAACGAAAUUUCGAAAACUGAAUUUGAUUUUGAGGUCGCAAGGCUGCAAAGAUUGCACCCUUAAAGGUUCCGACACCUUAAAUUAAAUCGGAGCACAGAGCCAGGUCAGGAAGGGUAAGACGAGGAAUUAGUGGUUGCAGGGAUAACUUAAGUUAAUAGUAAACAGAAGAAGACAAGUAAAAUCAAAGAAGACCAUGAAAGAUUUUAUUGUUACAAAUCGCCAUGUAACAUUCUGAAAGAGUUUUUAACUUCACAUCUGCUCUACUAUAAAUUUACUGGAAACAGUAUCCUUAACGGCAAAGCAGGAAUUCAAUCGAACACAUGUGGCACAGUAGAUGACAAUGAAGAUGUUAUCUUUGGGCAGGGAUAUAAUAUUCCUGAAAAUCCUGCCACAUCGACCAAAAAAAGUUCAACUUGAUAAUUUUCACUACUAAAAUAUUCAGAUAUUGUUCUAGAAACACUGCCUGUAUUUUAUACCGAGAACUGGCACAGUCUUUAGAUCAGCUACGGACGUAUGUCGGAGUUAGAGUAUCUCCUAAAAGCCCCUUGGUCUUAGUGGCUCUGAAAGGUCCCAAAAAGAUCUGAUAAAGCUAAAGGUCUAAAAGCUAGAACUAAAGAUGUCUAUUUUUAAAGUAAUUCUAGUUUGUUUUUAACACGUUUUAUUAUUAUUUGCCCUUUGAGGCAAAUAAAAACUGGUUGAAAAACUUUCAGUGACUUUUACUUUUUUUAAUAAGAACCAGAUAAUUUUUGCCGAGCCUUGAUGUUCUUAACUUUUUGAUAAUUUUAGGCUCAAAUGUUCUUAAAAAUGUUCUCACUUUAAGAGUGAUUUUUUGCAAAUAUUUGAGAAGUUACAUUCUGUACAUAGUUUCUAAGACGUUUUACUAGGUAAAGUUUAAAAAUAAAGCAAUGACUGCUUAUAAAUUGCAAAGUUUUGUUCUGUGGACAUGAUAUAAAUUUCAAAAUGCGAAUUGCAUUCUUCUCUCAUCUAUAAAUCCCUCAUCUGAAGCUGAGUGUGUUUUAGCCUUGUUCUUAUUUUUUGGACAAAUCGAGCGUUCUCAUUGUUCUUAUAAAGCGUGUUAAAAAAAGAGUGUAGAUCGAUGUUUCAAAUAAACAGAAUCUAACAACUUCUAAAUCAGUUAUAAACAAAAAAAUCUUCGACAUAUGUGACCUGUGCAGAUCUUAUGCACUUUAUCCUGGGAUUCUUUCCUUAUUAAAUAUGCUUUCUAUCGUGGUUUUAGAUUCGUGAGAUCCUUGGAACGGACUGGAUAGUUCAACAUUUCAUUGUUUCGAUAAUUAAUCGUAUACUUAAUGAAUUAGGUGAAAUUAUUAAUUACUUAAUUUCCCAAAUCGCAGUUUAAAAGGAUAGACGUCUUUCUUUUAUAAUACAGUAGCGAACAAGUCAGACUUUUCCUUUCCGCGCGAUGUGUGAUAAUUCACUCAGAAAGAUUUAGCGAAAUUAUCAUUUAGUGAAAUGCUGAAAUAUUUAGUGUCAUCUAGUCUUAAAUUCUUGACAUAAGGGCGCUUUCGAUAUGUUCCUAAUUCUUUACAUAGUAACAACUAAAUAGAGAUCUAUGGUUUUUGGGCAUUUCUUCCUGGCUUGACUAUCAACCCAUCCUACUUAACAAAGUCAUGAAAGUGAUCUAAAUUAAACUGGAGGAUGUAGAGGAUUCAGUGCAAUCCUGGCUACAAUGUGAACAUACAAACUAAUACAGGCUGCGAGGUUAAAAUUCUUCGUCUGAUAGUCUCUUUGGCCACAAUUAAUGAAAGCUCGCAUUUCGCAUCAAAGGCAGGCCGCUGAAUGAAUUUGCUCAACCUUUGGUAGGAAUGUUUGCCUUAGGAUGACGAAUGUAAUAAAAUCGACAUACAAGCGAAGGAAAAUCAAACGCUACUGUACGAUUUGCUCGUGGAAUCACGUGAUUGUGUUAACUGUUGCAGAUGUGUGUUUCGUUGAGCAGACAUUAAAGGAACCGCCGGUGAAUUAUUCCUUUGUCGGCAAAUUAGGAUGAAACGCGAGCUGGUGCCUCGUUCAAUAAAGCCUUUAACAUGUAAAAUCACUGAUACAAUAUUUGUAUAGGUUUUCAUAAUGCAUAUAAACACGCUUUACAAAUGAAUAAUGAAGCUGUAUAAAUACUGUUUAAGUUUGGAUCGCAAAAUUUUCACCCAUAACAAACUCAAUUUCCACGAAGUAAGGCACGAAAAUUAGCCUGAAGUAAAUAUAUAUGAUUUAAUAUUCUUUAGAAACACAAAGCAAUUAUCACCAAAGGGCUUAUUGCUAUUCGCAAACUUUGUGGAAGUCGUGAAACAGAACCAUGCUAAUUAAUCUAAUGUUCUCCCUGGCAUGGCAACGGAGGCUGCGAAGGCGCACUUAGAGACAAGUGGGGAACUGGUAACGAAAGCUUAUUUGGAACACGUCCACUACCGAAUUACGUCAACCUUCAGAGAAUUAUGCUGUGCAUUGAAGCACCUUCUCUACCACGGCUACUCCGAAGCAGUUCUCAGUUAGGCUUCCAACGGUCCGUCCCAUUCAUCCCUUCACCCUCACAUCUCAAAUGCAUCGCUUCAUAUUUUACUUUCUUCAAAAUAAUUUUGCCUUCGUUGCCUUUGCCCUAGAAUACAAGGAUCACGGCCUGCAGUAAUCGAUGUUUUUAAUAAUUUAUUCACAAACCUUUGCAGUGUAAAAUUUUUGCAAAAAUCCAAACAUCUUAAUACAAAAUCCACACACUCGAAAAAUAAAAAGGAAGGAUGCCAAUUUACACAAAGGCAAGUAAAAAAUCCAAUUCAUUUGCAGGUGGCUCAAAACUGGGGUUAACGAUAUUUCAUUACUCGGUAAGUCAAAAUCGGUAAGUUCAAAGUAUUGAAUUUAACAAGGCAGAAACUGCAUCACCAAGUGAGCUAAAUAAUAAAAGCGAAGGACAAUAGCUUCUCCAUCCUUUACCAGAUGGGACUCAGCCGAGCUCGAAAAUACCAGCUACAUAUUUCAUGUUGGGAAAUUAAAUAUUUAAUCGUGCAGCCAUUAACAUGGAAGACGAAAUAAUUUUCAUUUGGAAGAAAUGAGGCAAAUCUCAUGUUUGAAUGGAGUUAAUUACAUACCAGAUGAUUGCACGGCGUGGAAGGAGAUUGAAUGAAUGAAGAAAAAUGAAUGAAAUUGCAAGAGAAUACAUACUUAAAAAUCUCAAACAUUAAUGAUAAAAAUACAUUCUUUCAACAUUUCAUAAAAAGCUUAGCAAAUGAUUUCUGCUCUACCGUCGAUUUUUGUGAAAAAUGUCAUGAAAAAAAACUAGAAAAUUGAUGGAGGCGUGCUUUGUACAAGAUUUUUCUUUAUUGCAUCAAAUAAUGGACAGACCGACGGUUCCCAGACCCAAACAAAAGCUCAGAUCGAAGUCAUGAUUUCCAAUCUACAAAACUUGAACUGAAAAUACCUGAUGUCCUGCAAAAUACUUGCUGUUCUUCUUCGGCCAUCUCCGAUUAGCACACAACAAACAAGUGCCAGUGUUUUGUCGAAAAGCUUAUCUGUAUUAAUUGUUGUAAACAGAAAAUUUAAAAUAAUCUUUUCCAAGUUGGCUUAAAGGGAGCCCAGUCACGGAUAAUCUUCUAAAGUUAUAUUGAUAUUUGCUAUGUUUACAUUCAGUUUAAUUUAACGAAUUAACAGGAAUAUUGGUAAAGCAAUGCUAAUCCAAGCGCAAGUACUUCAAGGUCAGGGCUACCCGUGCGCCCUUCAUUACAAGAACUAAAAUGGAUUAAAAUCCGAUUUUCAUUCGGCAGUUGUUAAACAGAUAGGAGAUUGUGACCUAUCUGGAGUAAACAGCAAAGGCCUUUGGAACGAGCCUUAAGGGCGCCGUAAACACUCCGAAGGAGCCUUUCUCAAAGUUGUAGCAAUUUGCAAGCUGUCUUAUCGCCAAACUGCUGUGGCAACCAACAACAACAGCCACAGCUAUUUGUUUCUGAAGUUUUCAAGCGGCUUGAAGUUGCACGAAAUGUUGCUGGUCAUUUCGAAAGCAGGGCUUGUGAGAAAAUGUCUGUUUACAUUGAUAUUGAGACUAUAUGAGCUAUCAAAAUGCUAUCUCAAACUCAACCCUUUUAUUACCUAAGGCCCAACGUAAAUCAAUCGAUAGUGCUGAAUAUAUAAAAACCAGAUGCACUUGAAGAGUUAAUGCAUCUAUUUGUUUUUUUAAGUCUAUUUUGCUUUCAUAAACACACGAUACUUGAGCAGAAUAGUUAACGACAAAAUCAUCAGUUAAUCAAAUAAGGAUGAGGUCCUAAAUAUGAGAUCCUGUAUAAUUUUGAUGCCCUGUCGAUCCGUGUCCAAACAUGAGAGAUCUCUAGAGCAGUGCCAACUUGAAGUCCAACAUACGCAUCCUAGUUCGGAAUUAUUUGCUCUUGAAUAUAGCGAGACUUAUUAAAUCUGGGUUUAUUUUACCAAGAAUUUAAUUAAAAUCUCCGAAGUUCGUCAAAACAGAUCAAAGACGACCGAAGGCAUCCUUAGUGCAAAUAUGGCUACUUGACUAAACAUUGUAUAAUAGAAAAGACUUUCAUUCAUCUAUCGGUGUGCUCUUGGUAACCUGACCCUGCUGCUCGCAUUAUCAAUUGUGUAUCAAAGGUCAGACGGAGUUCACCUAUGGCCAAUAGGCACUCGCGAAAUUUGAACAAAAUGGCGCAUUCAGUUGUAUACAUGAUACGCGUAUGAUGGGUCUGUUUUACGUUCGGAGCCUUUCAGGGGAUAAGGUUCAGUUUCAUAUGUGUGUCUUAUUUACCCAGAAUCGAUUCAAGUGCCUUUCACUUCUAACCGCGCAUUACUCACUGGAUCUUACCAAAAUAGCUCAUGAUUUCGUACGCGGAUGAAAAGCCUGCGCCAGAAUUGAACGUCUAUCCUAAACCCAAAGACAAUGAAGAAAGAGCUUCGCGUAGUGCGAGGCCUGGUGGCAAAUCAGGCAAAGCACCUACGUCAUAAUAUAUCAAAUAGACUGAUGUUGAGAAAUGGAAAAAGCUUUGACAUAGCGCCAGCAGAAAAGGUCAUUUGGUUGCCUUACGAUUAACAGGACCGUAACGAUGUUUCUUCGACCGACUCCUGCGACGAUAAUUUGGCUCGGAAAUAAUGACCACUGAUCUCACUAAAUAGAGAAUCUUCCUGAAAGCUAAUCAGAUAAGAAGCAACCAAACAGAAUACACUUGAAAUGGCUCCAUUACGGAAAUUGCUACUUCAAAGCAGUUGGCAAAAACCAAAGACCAUUUCGGGACUAAAUGGCUUAACUUAUGAAUCACAAAUAACCAGCACACUUACAUAGCAAAACCAAAGAUAGUCUCGACCUUGUGUAAGACUGUUGGGCGUUCUUAAUCAAUGGGAGAUUUAUGGACAAGUCAACAAACACACAUGGUUUCAAAAAGAGACGGGGACACACGCAAGAUUCGAUUUAGAUAGGCAUACUAUUGUGGAGUGGGGGCCAACUUCAGGUGUCCAGAUCUGAGUUAAAAUACACUUUUCUUAAAAAUGUAUUAAUUUUCUUAAAAAUCAAAUAGGGUUGUGAUUUCAAGUGUAUAUAUACAUUAGCACUUCACCAGUCAAGGAUUAAUGGUUUCUCAAAAAUAUUAAGUUACAUCGACUUGGUGGGAAAAUAAUGAGUAGAAGGUAUGAUACUGUGCACAAGUUUUUCAGUUAGUUUCGGCUCUUUCCGCAGGUUUGCAUUUAAUAACCUACAGACUAAUUGCGGACAAUUUCUAUUCAAAUGAUAUUAUUUCCUCUUUUAAAGUUAAAGCUCGCAUUUUUAUCAGUGGCGUAGCUUGCGGUGUAAGCGUAGAAAUUUGUAGAAAAACUCUAAAAUUCUUGCAACACUUUUAACGGUUAUAAAUACGUUGUAGUGUUAAAGUCAAUGCAUAAAAUUUUCCGCAAUAAACGGCUUCUCUUUCUGGUCAUGAGCAGCAUGCAGUGAACUCCAGCGCAAACAUGCCAAUUGGCUUUUUAUCCAAAUGGUAAAAUUCGAAAAAUGGUGAAAUUCGAAAAAUCUGAAAAACUGAAGCGCUUCCACGCCACUCUUUUUGCCUAUCUGCAAUAAGAGAAACAAGCGAUGCUCCAGUGCAGCUUCAGCGCGGCUCAAUAGAAGCUUUUGAAAGAAGUGAGAAUUUCAUGGACUGGAGCUUGCGGUCAUUCUGAAAUUACGAUUUAAUUCAUUUGACAUAACCGUAUAUUAUAUGUUACCGCAUGCCUCAGUUCUGCGCUCACGCUACGCCACUGAUUUCUGUUGAAUUUACCUCAAAAUUCAAGCAUGCCAAUUUUCUUACUUUAUUUCUUUGAUACUUCAAAGUAAUGUGUGUUCAUUCUUUUAAUCGGCCCCUUUGCAACCAAUUAAGGAUGGCGUGUCAGCUAUCUUAAUUAAUGUUUAUGUGAUAUUUUCAAAAAUUAAUAACCCAAAUUAUCUAAUCAAAGAAUGUUGACAUUGUAACAUGGUGUAUUGUAACCUCGGGCAUAUUACAAAACAGCCAUUGCACACAGUCACCCUACAAGCCUCUGCUUUAAGCCUCUGCUUUCAGCGACGACGAGUGAACCACGGGCCAAUGUUUGGCGGAUUCAUAAUGAAACCAGCUAUGUAGCCAUAGAAGAAAGAGAAAGAACUGGAAUAUCAAGAACAUUCACUGACACAAGACCACUGCAAACACAAAACUGAUUAAUGUAAAGCUAGGAAUGUCAACGAGAGAGGGACCUCUAGUAAACAGUUAGCUCAAAUUUCCACUGCCUCCUUUUCGUCUACAUUGGAAGCCUACAAUUUAAAAGUUUCCGAUUGGGAAAUCCAUUCACCUCCACAAAAGAUCAUGCUCCUGCAAAGAGGCACGAAUAAGAACAACAAGAUACGUCCGAGAACCGGGCACAGAAAACCGGCCUAUCGAUCCUCCAACCUGGCUGGCCACUUUUGAUUUAGAACUGUUUUCAAUAUAGAUGAAUCUGUAAGUGGUUGCUAUAUAUCCUUUCAAAACAGAAAACAGACAAAGGUGCUAGGAAUACAGAAGAUUUGUUGGCUGGUGAGCUUGUUUGAGAGAGGUAUGGUUAACGGAUUGAACAAGAAAUAACAGGGGAGGACAAUAGACCCAUUAAAAAAAGAUUGUACAUAGCAGGGCAAACAUCGGAAUAAGAAGGUGGAAAAAGAUAUCAUAGAAAAAAUGAUAGUACCAGAACAGAGAAAGUUGCAAAAAAUGAGGAUUUAAAGAGUCACGCACAAACCAUUUACGUUUUUGCUCUGAUAUUACAGACUCGUUUUAUCACGAGUGCUGUAUUGCUGAACAUUGGCGAAAACCUAGCAUGAUCUGGUGCUACAAACAUAAAAGUACAGUGUCUGGAAUCUUAUAUUUAAAUCAUGUGAAGCAGUCAGGAUUCCCUUCUAAUUGAGUUUCUAACCAAGGAAAUCCAUCCUUCAAAUUUUUACCUUUGACAGAAAAGAAAAUCAAACCAACCCCCCUCUCUGAGAUAUUUCUUAUGUACCGCUCAUACCAAAGAAUCUAAGGUAUAGAGGAAGCCAGCCCAAGGACCUCAAUAGAUUGGCAAGGGGAUUUGAGGGACAAUCUAUGUAAUCAAGAUUUAGGUAAAAACGUUUAAAAUCGUCUAGGAAAGAAAUAAACCUGAAAAUUAUCAAUAUGAGACUAAAAUAAAGCAAUAAAAUUCCCGCUUGAGGUAACACUGCACACUUUUGUAUUCAGAAGAAAACUUUCAGUUUAAUAAAACAAAUCACGGAAACCACGGCCAGCAGAAAUUUGGACUGGAAUUUUCAAACCGUUAAUUAAAUAACAAUGAACGAUAAUUCUGAAAAAUGAAGCAUUAUUGUCCCGGCCUUGCUUGUAAAGUUUCUCAACUGAUUUAAGGCUCUGAUAGAGCCUGAAAAAUUACUGUCACUACAGAAAUAAAUGGAUUUCGUAUCAAGAAAGCUUGAAUGUACUGUUAUCAAUUUAGACAGGAUAGCGAUAGAAAUGCACUCACCUCUAAAUCGUCUUCCUCUUUCUCCAGAAUUUGAAACGCUUUACGCAACAAUUCCUCGCCAACACCGCGAAUGCACUCUCUAUGAAAGUGCAAAACAUAGAUUACCUUUCACGGCACGACCAAAACCCAAAAUAUGACCCCUAAAUUCCAUGUUUUGUUAAAAGUGACGUUGCUACUUAAAUAUUGAGAUAUUUGACAGACCUAAGAGCUUUGAAAAUUGAUUUAUCUGCGAUAAAUGACAGCUGCUAGUAUAGAUUUGCUCCGCUUCAAAUGUCAAGAUCACCAAAAACAUCAAAUACAUAUACAUAGGAACCGAAGAUGAGAUGUUAAAACAGAUAGAGUGGAGGACAUAAAGAAUGAUCUUGCUGUGAAAGUACGUAUAUUUUUGCACAUGGCUGCUUUUUUGAAUUGUUUACGUUUAUACCCGAGACAAUAAUCUACAUAUUCGCUCAUGGGAGUUUCAAUCUAUACGAUCGAAGAAAAUUAUAAGCUAAAAGCAAAGAGGUCACAAAUUGCAAGUAAAGAGUAAGAAAAUGCUUACAGAAAUAUGUUUCAAAUUAGUUAAAGCCGGAAUGUUGCAAAACGGCAAAAAGAGAAGGAAGAAACUUAAUUAUGCUUUGACCAAAUGCAUUAGGAUUCUUCACAAAAAAAUAGAAAACCUUCAAGGUUUACCUUCUAAGGCGUUCGAUUCUAUCGUUAAGUCUUCCAGAGACAGUAUGUGAUAACGACGGAUGUUCAUUUUCGGCUGCAAAUGAUAAAGAAAAAGUUUUACAAUAACUCAAAAUCGAACGCAGAAUACCUACUUGCAAAUGAAAGGUAUUAAUAUUCAUCUAGAGUAAAUAAUCAAAAUUACUUUUUAUCAUUCUGUCAUAAAGUGUUUGAUGCCGUAUAGCUGUACACGCAGUUGCCUGACGAUCGUAGGGUGAAACUCGGAGUAACAACCUUGAACCGUAAUGUUCUUUACACCAAACCGUAAUUAAAGUAUAUAUACUUACAGUCAGUUAGUUGUUUAUUCAAUAAAUUUCAUUCAAAAUUUAUUGCCUUCCCUAAUAAAUCAAAGAGUAACAAAUCAAUAUUAAACGACUCUUUGGUACUGAAAAACUUAAAAGUAGCAAAAAAAUCGGAAACAAACUAUUAUAAAUAUAGAAGGAAUACAAGCAGGAUAAGCGGUCCGCCGGAUUCCGUGAAUCUUCGAACGAGUAAUUAGAGAAACUAUUACAGUAAUUAUAAAACGAUGCCUUUGAUGAUGUCUUGUAUGCCGGAGCGAAAUAAUAGUUUUGCACUCAAUUCAUUUCAAAAUUCAAUUUCACAUGUUGGAUUUUCAUAGUCGUUUUGUUUUGUUCAUGCCUAUUACCUAUUAUGAAUGUUACAAUAAAAAACUUAACCCAUAAGAAUAAUGACCAAAAGGUAAGGGAAAGAAUUACACUGAGGUGUGGAUUGAAUUUCUGCAUGGAAAACUCCAGAUCAAUUAACGCUUUUUUACCAGAAUCGCGACAGACAGCACAGAAAAUUGUUUUUUUUGAAGAACAUAAUGCUUUUAACUUAUGGGCGAACGAUCAAAGGUCAACGUAAAGUUCCAUAACGAAUAAGAGCAAACCUUUAUGUGCAAACAAGAGCGAUUCUGUAACGAUUUUCCGAGAAUUCAGAAUUUCUCCCUGUGCUAUUGAAAAAGGCUAAUACCUCUGAAAUACAGUCUUUGCUUUCAAACAGCGAAAAAAGAUUCUUAAACUCUUUAAAGAUAGACAAUAGAUUGUUUUACCUUCGAA